ensembl:misc_RNA Metazoa_SRP Metazoan signal recognition particle RNA
GCCGGGCGCAGUGGCCUGUGCCUAUAGUCCCAGCUACUCAGGAGGCUGAGGUGGGAGGAUCGCUUGAGCCCAGGAGUUCUGGGCUGUAGAGCGCUAUGCCGAUCGGGUGUCCGCACUAAGUUUGGCAUCAAUAUGGUGACCUCCUGGGAGCAGGGGACCACCAGGUUGCCUAAGGAGGGGUGAACCGGCCCAGGUCGGAAACAGAGCAGGUCAAAACUCCCGUGCUGAUCAGUAGUGGGAUCUCAACUGUGAAAAAGCCACUGCACUCCAGCCUGGGCAACAUAGCAAGACCCCAUCUCUA